rnacentral:rRNA from 1 species
UACGUAGGGUGCGAGCGUUGUCCGGAAUUAUUGGGCGUAAAGAGCUCGUAGGCGGUUUGUCGCGUCUGCUGUGAAAACUCGGGGCUUAACUCCGGGCCUGCAGUGGGUACGGGCAGACUAGAGUGCGGUAGGGGAGACUGGAAUUCCUGGUGUAGCGGUGAAAUGCGCAGAUAUCAGGAGGAACACCGGUGGCGAAGGCGGGUCUCUGGGCCGAUAUUGACGCUGAGGAGCGAAAGCGUGGGGAGCGAACAGG